UACGAAGGGGACUAGCGUUGUUCGGAAUUACUGGGCGUAAAGCGCACGUAGGCGGAUUUGUUAGUCAGGGGUGAAAUCCCGGGCUCAACCUCGGAACUGCCUUUGAUACUGCAAAUCUCGAGUCCGAUAGAGGUGGGUGGAAUUCCUAGUGUAGAGGUGAAAUUCGUAGAUAUUAGGAAGAACACCAGUGGCGAAGGCGGCCAACU
rnacentral:rRNA from 1 species